CUGGGUGCAGUGGACCAUUACUUUUAAACUUGUUAUUUUGUAAAAACAACAGGAUGCAUUGAUGAUCAUCUUUAGAGCCAGUAUCCUUUCGCAAUUUUUUGGUUAUAGAAUUUUUUGCAACAUUCUAUAUAUUCCCUUGAGGCAUCAUUUCAUAGGUAUUAUACUGCUUAGCAACUGAGCUAUUGGGUUCAACCUCUCUGUGAGUAUAUUUUUUCUACUCACCAUAACUACCUGAUAACAGACUGAUUUACU